AGAGUUUGAUCAUGGCUCAGAAUGAACGCUGGCGGCAGGCCUAACACAUGCAAGUCGAACGGAGCAGCAAUGCUCAGUGGCGGACGGGUGAGUAACGCGUGGGAACAUACCCUUUGGUACGGAAUAGCCUCGGGAAACUGGGAGUAAUACCGUAUGUGCUCGCAAGAGGAAAGAUUUAUCGCCAAAGGAUUGGCCCGCGUUGGAUUAGGUAGUUGGUGGGGUAAUGGCCUACCAAGCCGACGAUCCAUAGCUGGUUUGAGAGGAUGAUCAGCCACACUGGGACUGAGACACGGCCCAGACUCCUACGGGAGGCAGCAGUGGGGAAUCUUAGACAAUGGGGGAAACCCUGAUCUAGCCAUGCCGCGUGAUCGAUGAAGGCCUUAGGGUUGUAAAGAUCUUUCAGUUGGGAAGAUAAUGACGGUACCAACAGAAGAAGCCCCGGCUAACUCCGUGCCAGCAGCCGCGGUAAUACGGAGGGGGCUAGCGUUAUUCGGAAUUACUGGGCGUAAAGCGCACGUAGGCGGACUGGAAAGUUGGGGGUGAAAGCCCAGGGCUCAACCCUGGAACUGCCCUCAAAACUCCCAGUCUUGAGGUCGAGAGAGGUGAGUGGAAUUCCGAGUGUAGAGGUGAAAUUCGUAGAUAUUCGGAGGAACACCAGUGGCGAAGGCGGCUCACUGGCUCGAUACUGACGCUGAGGUGCGAAAGCGUGGGGAGCAAACAGGAUUAGAUACCCUAGUAGUCC
rnacentral:rRNA from 1 species